rnacentral:rRNA from 1 species
UACGGGGGGAGCAAGCGUUGUUCGGAUUUACUGGGCGUAAAGGGCGCGUAGGCGGUCAGCCAAAUUCAGUUUUGAAAUCUCCGGGCUUAACUCGGAAAGGUCAACUGAUACUGUGCGACUAGAGUGCAGAAGGGGCAACUGGAAUUCUCGGUGUAGCGGUGAAAUGCGUAGAUAUCGAGAGGAACACCUGCGGCGAAGGCGGGUUGCUGGGCUGACACUGACGCUGAUGAGCGAAAGCCAGGGGAGCAAACGGG